UUUUACCAUUAAAACUCUGGAGUCAAGUAAAUGUUAAAGAUUUAAUCCAUUGUGAUAUCAUACAGAAUGUUAGAACAGUCUUCUGUGUACUUCCCCGUCAGU